AAUUAGCUCAGUUGGUUGGAGCAUGGUGCUGAUAACACCAAGGCCGCAGGUUUGAUCCCUGUAAGGGACU